UGAGGAAUUUUGCGCAAUGGGCGAAAGCCUGACGCAGCGACGCCGCGUGGAGGAAGACGGCCUUCGGGUUGUAAACUCCUGUCAGGGGUGAAGAAACUUCGCAAGAAGCUGACGGUAACCCCAGAGGAAGCCCCGGCUAACUACGUGCCAGCAGCCGCGGUAAUACGUAGGGGGCAAGCGUUGCUCGGAUUGACUGGGCGUAAAGCGCGCGUAGGCGGUCCAUUAAGUGUGUGGUGAAAUGCAGAGGCUCAACCUCUGUCCCGCCGCGCAAACUGGUGGUCUUGAGAUUGGGAGGGGGAUGCGGAAUUCCUGGUGUAGCGGUGAAAUGCAUUGAUAUCAGGAGGAACACCGGCGGCAAAGGCGGCUCUCUGGACUGCUACUGACACUGAGGCGCGAAAGCUAGGGGAGCAAACG
rnacentral:rRNA from 1 species